CAGCCGUAAACUAUGCGCGUUAGGUGUACUGGUGACCACGAGUCACCGGGGUGCCGAAGGGAAACCGUGAAACGUGCCGCCUGGGAAGUACGGUCGCAAGGCUGAACUUAAGGAUUGGCGGGGAGCACCACAACGGGUGGAGCCUGCGGGUUUAAUUGGACUCAACGCCGGAAAUCUCACCGGAUAGGACAGCAGAAUGAUUGCCGGGCUGAAGACCCUGCAUGACUAGCUGAGAGGUGGUGCAUGGCGUCAGUGACU
rnacentral:rRNA from 1 species